rnacentral:rRNA from 1 species
CCUACGGGUGGCAGCAGUGAGGAAUAUUGGUCAAUGGGCGCGAGCCUGAACCAGCCAAGUAGCGUGAAGGAUGACUGCCCUACGGGUUGUAAACUUCUUUUAUAAAGGAAUAAAGUGAGGCACGUGUGCCUUUUUGUAUGUACUUUAUGAAUAAAGAUCGGCUAACUCCGUUCCCGCAGCCGCGGUAAUACGGAGGAUCCGAGCGGUUCCCGGAUUUAUUGGGUUUAAAGGGAGCGUAGGUGGAUUGUUAAGUCAGUUGUGAAAGUGUGCGGCUCAACAGUAAAAUUGCAGUUGACACUGGCAGUCUUGAGUACAGUAGAGGUGGGCGGAAUUCGUGGUGUAGCGGUGAAAUGCUUAGAUAUCACGAAGAACUCCGAUUGCGAAGGCAGCUCACUGGACUGCAACUGACACUGAGGCUCGAAAGUGUGGGUAUCAAACAGGAUUAGAUACCCUAGUAGUC